GCUGGGUGCGGUGGCGCGCACCUGUAAUCCCAGCUACUUGGGAGGCUGAGGCAGGAGAAUCACUUGAACCCAGGAGGCAGAGGUUGCAGUGAGCCGAGAUCGCGCCACUGCACUUCAGCCUGGGCGAAUGUGAGACUCUGUCUCAA
rnacentral:SRP_RNA from 1 species